GGGUUGUGAGGUUAAGCGACUAAGCGUACACGGUGGAUGCCCUGGCAGUCAGAGGCGAUGAAGGACGUGCUAAUCUGCGAUAAGCGUCGGUAAGGUGAUAUGAACCGUUAUAACCGGCGAUUUCCGAAUGGGGAAACCCAGUGUGAUUCGUCACACUAUCAUUAACUGAAUCCAUAGGUUAAUGAGGCGAACCGGGGGAACUGAAACAUCUAAGUACCCCGAGGAAAAGAAAUCAACCGAGAUUCCCCCAGUAGCGGCGAGCGAACGGGGAGGAGCCCAGAGCCUGAAUCAGUGUGUGUGUUAGUGGAAGCGUCUGGAAAGGCGCGCGAUACAGGGUGACAGCCCCGUACACAAAAAUGCACAUAUUGUGAGCUCGAUGAGUAGGGCGGGACACGUGGUAUCCUGUCUGAAUAUGGGGGGACCAUCCUCCAAGGCUAAAUACUCCUGACUGACCGAUAGUGAACCAGUACCGUGAGGGAAAGGCGAAAAGAACCCCGGCGAGGGGAGUGAAAAAGAACCUGAAACCGUGUACGUACAAGCAGUGGGAGCCUCUUUUAUGGGGUGACUGCGUACCUUUUGUAUAAUGGGUCAGCGACUUAUAUUCUGUAGCAAGGUUAACCGAAUAGGGGAGCCGAAGGGAAACCGAGUCUUAACUGGGCGUUAAGUUGCAGGGUAUAGACCCGAAACCCGGUGAUCUAGCCAUGGGCAGGUUGAAGGUUGGGUAACACUAACUGGAGGACCGAACCGACUAAUGUUGAAAAAUUAGCGGAUGACUUGUGGCUGGGGGUGAAAGGCCAAUCAAACCGGGAGAUAGCUGGUUCUCCCCGAAAGCUAUUUAGGUAGCGCCUCGUGAAUUCAUCUCCGGGGGUAGAGCACUGUUUCGGCAAGGGGGUCAUCCCGACUUACCAACCCGAUGCAAACUGCGAAUACCGGAGAAUGUUAUCACGGGAGACACACGGCGGGUGCUAACGUCCGUCGUGAAGAGGGAAACAACCCAGACCGCCAGCUAAGGUCCCAAAGUCAUGGUUAAGUGGGAAACGAUGUGGGAAGGCCCAGACAGCCAGGAUGUUGGCUUAGAAGCAGCCAUCAUUUAAAGAAAGCGUAAUAGCUCACUGGUCGAGUCGGCCUGCGCGGAAGAUGUAACGGGGCUAAACCAUGCACCGAAGCUGCGGCAGCGACGCUUAUGCGUUGUUGGGUAGGGGAGCGUUCUGUAAGCCUGUGAAGGUGUGCUGUGAGGCAUGCUGGAGGUAUCAGAAGUGCGAAUGCUGACAUAAGUAACGAUAAAGCGGGUGAAAAGCCCGCUCGCCGGAAGACCAAGGGUUCCUGUCCAACGUUAAUCGGGGCAGGGUGAGUCGACCCCUAAGGCGAGGCCGAAAGGCGUAGUCGAUGGGAAACAGGUUAAUAUUCCUGUACUUGGUGUUACUGCGAAGGGGGGACGGAGAAGGCUAUGUUGGCCGGGCGACGGUUGUCCCGGUUUAAGCGUGUAGGCUGGUUUUCCAGGCAAAUCCGGAAAAUCAAGGCUGAGGCGUGAUGACGAGGCACUACGGUGCUGAAGCAACAAAUGCCCUGCUUCCAGGAAAAGCCUCUAAGCAUCAGGUAACAUCAAAUCGUACCCCAAACCGACACAGGUGGUCAGGUAGAGAAUACCAAGGCGCUUGAGAGAACUCGGGUGAAGGAACUAGGCAAAAUGGUGCCGUAACUUCGGGAGAAGGCACGCUGAUAUGUAGGUGAAGUCCCUUGCGGAUGGAGCUGAAAUCAGUCGAAGAUACCAGCUGGCUGCAACUGUUUAUUAAAAACACAGCACUGUGCAAACACGAAAGUGGACGUAUACGGUGUGACGCCUGCCCGGUGCCGGAAGGUUAAUUGAUGGGGUCAGCGCAAGCGAAGCUCUUGAUCGAAGCCCCGGUAAACGGCGGCCGUAACUAUAACGGUCCUAAGGUAGCGAAAUUCCUUGUCGGGUAAGUUCCGACCUGCACGAAUGGCGUAAUGAUGGCCAGGCUGUCUCCACCCGAGACUCAGUGAAAUUGAACUCGCUGUGAAGAUGCAGUGUACCCGCGGCAAGACGGAAAGACCCCGUGAACCUUUACUAUAGCUUGACACUGAACAUUGAGCCUUGAUGUGUAGGAUAGGUGGGAGGCUUAGAAGUGUGGACGCCAGUCUGCAUGGAGCCGACCUUGAAAUACCACCCUUUAAUGUUUGAUGUUCUAACGUUGACCCGUAAUCCGGGUUGCGGACAGUGUCUGGUGGGUAGUUUGACUGGGGCGGUCUCCUCCUAAAGAGUAACGGAGGAGCACGAAGGUUGGCUAAUCCUGGUCGGACAUCAGGAGGUUAGUGCAAUGGCAUAAGCCAGCUUGACUGCGAGCGUGACGGCGCGAGCAGGUGCGAAAGCAGGUCAUAGUGAUCCGGUGGUUCUGAAUGGAAGGGCCAUCGCUCAACGGAUAAAAGGUACUCCGGGGAUAACAGGCUGAUACCGCCCAAGAGUUCAUAUCGACGGCGGUGUUUGGCACCUCGAUGUCGGCUCAUCACAUCCUGGGGCUGAAGUAGGUCCCAAGGGUAUGGCUGUUCGCCAUUUAAAGUGGUACGCGAGCUGGGUUUAGAACGUCGUGAGACAGUUCGGUCCCUAUCUGCCGUGGGCGCUGGAGAACUGAGGGGGGCUGCUCCUAGUACGAGAGGACCGGAGUGGACGCAUCACUGGUGUUCGGGUUGUCAUGCCAAUGGCACUGCCCGGUAGCUAAAUGCGGAAGAGAUAAGUGCUGAAAGCAUCUAAGCACGAAACUUGCCCCGAGAUGAGUUCUCCCUGACUCCUUGAGAGUCCUGAAGGAACGUUGAAGACGACGACGUUGAUAGGCCGGGUGUGUAAGCGCAGCGAUGCGUUGAGCUAACCGGUACUAAUGAACCGUGAGGCUUAACCUUACAACGCCGAAG
rnacentral:rRNA from 1 species